GCAGAUCUGCCCUGCCCACUUUCGCGCUCUUUCCAACACCUUUCUCAGUUAUUUUCGCCAUUGUGGGUUUACUUGUCCUCAGCACACUGAUUUGGCACUGCUGCAAUCGUCACACUUUUUCUGUUACAAACUGACCCGGCCCCUCAUCAGAGAAGGGAAAAGUCAUGUGGCCUUCACAGGAAAAGGUUUGGGGACCCCUGCUUUAGAGUGUUUGUCAUCUGCCCUUCCAUUUGCUUUUCUUCAUGUGCAGUGCUCCCCCUCCAUGUUUGAUCAAACUGCACUGAUAAUUUGAAAUUGUUUUAAAAUGCAUUAAUCGCAAAAAUCAGAGGACUAGAUCACAUUUCCCCCUGUUAUUUCACCACUUUAACUUUGGUCUAACCUAAUAUAGGAAUACAGAUAGAAAGAGUGCAGAGAUCACACUCGACGCCAUAACAACCUGGUGUGUUUAAGGUUGGUCAUUUAUGUGCCUAUAUUUUGAAAUUGUUGCCUUAAUUUUGUGUUCUUUUUCACCAUCCCCCAAUCAGGCUGAAGCAAAUGGUCAAAAGUCCACACAUACCUCAGUCUCAGCAAUUACAGGUCAACCAAAGCAGUAUUCUCUAAUGCAGUGGACUUGCAAGUACUGCACAUUUUCUGCUGAAAAGAGCCUACUUGCUUAAGCAUUACCGCUUAAAACAUGGAUACCACACUCGGACAUCCCUACUCCCAUGUCUUCAUAAGGACUGCCUCUGCACAUUUAAAUCUUUUAAUGCACUCAAAGUACACCUAUCGACAUGGCACUCUCAAAAAGAUGCAGGCAAAAGUGGAGAAACUGCAUUUGACCGUCAGUUGUGCAACUUUGUGGAGCCCUGCUCAGAAGCAGACUUCUUUACCCAUUUGCGAGGACAUCUUAAGCUGAGGCAAAUGGUUACUUGCCCAUAUCAAGACUAACUUUCAGAGCAGUAUUUAUUCGACCUUCACUGCACACAAAAGCAAAGAAAUGUGAAAUGUGUUUGAGCCAUAGUGUGGGUAGGACAUUUGUGUCUAAAUCAUUCAAUCCCAAUAAAAGUUGCUUUAAUAAAAAAAAAACUUAUUUUUAAUC